rnacentral:rRNA from 1 species
GAUGAACGCUGGCGGCGUGCCUAAUACAUGCAAGUCGAACGAAACUUCUUUAUCACCGAGUGCUUGCACUCACCGAUAAAGAGUUGAGUGGCGAACGGGUGAGUAACCCGUGGGCAACCUGCCCAAAAGAGGGGGAUAACACUUGGAAACAGGUGCUAAUACCGCAUAACCAUAGUUACCGCAUGGUAACUAUGUAAAAGGUGGCUAUACUACCGCUUUUGGAUGGGCCCGCGGCGCAUUAGCUAGUUGGUAGGGUAAAGGCUUACCAAGGCAAUGAUGCGUAGCCGAAUUGAGAGGUUGAUCGGCCACAUUGGGACUGAGACACGGCCCAAACUCCUACGGGAGGCAGCAGUAGGGAAUCUUCCACAAUGGGCGAAAGCCUGAUGGAGCAACGCCGCGUGGGUGAAGAAGGUCUUCGGAUCGUAAAACCCUGUUGUUAGAGAAGAAAGUGCGUGAGAGUAACUGUUCACGUUUCGACGGUAUCUAACCAGAAAGCCACGGCUAACUACGUG